rnacentral:lncRNA from 12 species
GCGAUUUUUAAGCCUGAUUUUAAAAUAACAAAUACCAAAAAUAUUUUAACUGAUAUUUUAAAUUCUCAUAGACUGUUAUAUACUCAAUCAUCCCCUUAAUACCUUGAACAGUGACCUCAUUAAAUUAGAAAGUACUUUUCUACAUGUUUUUGUUCUGUUUUGUUUUUCAGUCUCCAUUUCACAAAAACAACACGUGGCCAUAGCUAUACUUUCCUCUGGCAUUCGAGGAUGUGGGAAAUUUCUCUUGUGUUUGUUGAUCAGAGCUGGCAGUUGGAGAAGAAUUCUCUCAAUGGUGGAUAAGGGUUAAAUAAUCCUGGUUGCCGGAGUUUCUGAUUAUUGCACACGGAAGUUCUGCUUUACCUUCAACCACAGUUUUGCCUUCACUGGCCGUCUUAAUUACAUAUUCAAAGUAAGAUGAGCAACACUGAGGUUGGGCCUCACUUAGCUAAUGAGAUUGGACUGAAUCAUGGCCCAGGGUAAGUUGGUUUGCUAAUUUCUUAGAAUUAGUAGUGCUAGUCUAAAAACUUUAAGAGUGAUGUAAAAGAGGGAAAAUUAAGGUAGUUUGCCUUUAGUUCCACUUGAGUUUGGGAACCUGGCAUUAAAGAGGCCAACCAGAAUCCAAAUGAAUAUUAAUUUAACAAUUAAUGAGCAGAAGAGAGAAUGGGGGGAAAUCUUCAGAAAGACUAUCAAUGCAUUUUUGUACUUCCUACCAUUCUCCAAACUUUAAUUUGUGAGGACAUGUUUCAUCACACUUUCAAAUUAGCCUAGAUUCUAUAAAUUUUUCUUUUUCAUUAAUUUUGCCUGCAAGGUAUACAGCUGCCAAAUAUUUCAUGUAACAAUUUUAUAUCGUCAAUUCACGUAUAAUAAAAGAAAAAUAGUAUUCUAAUCCCA